GGAGGGGUAGCUCAGUGGUUUGAGCAUUGGCUUGCUAAACCCAAGGUUGUGAGUUCAAUUCUUGACCAGGCCA
rnacentral:tRNA from 1 species